CCCUUAGAGUUUGAUCCUGGCUCAGGAUGAACGCUGGCGGCGUGCCUAACACAUGCAAGUCGAACGAAGCAAUUGAAGGAAGUUUUCGGAUGGAAUUCGAUUGACUGAGUGGCGGACGGGUGAGUAACGCGUGGAUAACCUGCCUCACACUGGGGGAUAACAGUUAGAAAUGACUGCUAAUACCGCAUAAGCGCACAGUACCGCAUGGUACGGUGUGAAAAACUCCGGUGGUGUGAAAUGGAUCCGCGUCUGAUUAGCCAGUUGGCGGGGUAACGGCCCACCAAAGCGACGAUCAGUAGCCGACCUGAGAGGGUGACCGGCCACAUUGGGACUGAGACACGGCCCAAACUCCUACGGGAGGCAGCAGUGGGGAAUAUUGCACAAUGGGCGAAAGCCUGAUGCAGCGACGCCGCGUGAGUGAAGAAGUAUUUCGGUAUGUAAAGCUCUAUCAGCAGGGAAGAA
rnacentral:rRNA from 1 species